CGACCUCAGAUCAGGCGGGACUACCCGCCGGAUUUAAGCAUAUUAAUAAGCGGAGGAAAAGAAAACAACCGUGAUCCCUUAGUAGCGGCGAGCGAACCGGGAAAAGCCCAUCGCCGAAUCUCGCCGCGCACUUUUGUGUCGCGGCACGUAUGAGAGUUGUGGCGUACGGGCCGGCCUCGUUGCCGGGGCGCACGUGACGGUCCAAGUCUCCCUUGAACGGGGCCAUGGCCCGGCAGAUGGUGCCCAGGGCCCAGUAGAGGGCCGUCACAGCGUUCCGGGAUCGGACCGCGCCUUCGAGUCGGGUUGCUU
rnacentral:ncRNA from 1 species